UACGUAGGGUGCAAGCGUUGUCCGGAAUUAUUGGGCGUAAAGAGCUCGUAGGCGGUCUGUCGCGUCUGCUGUGAAGACUCAGGGCUUAACCCUGAGCUUGCAGUGGGUACGGGCAGACUAGAGUGCGGUAGGGGAGACUGGAAUUCCUGGUGUAGCGGUGAAAUGCGCAGAUAUCAGGAGGAACACCGAUGGCGAAGGCAGUUCUCUGGGCCGUAACUGACGCUGGAGGAGCGAAAGCGUGGGGAGCGAACAGG
rnacentral:rRNA from 1 species